GGAAGCUUGGUCCAGCAGCCAUUACAGCAUUGGUAAAGUAAACUGGAGCAGUGUCUUGAUGGACAGCGCCACAUUUCCUGCAAUGAUGUCUUUGAUAGACUUAUACAAUCUUUCGAAAAAGCUUGGCAUAAUAUUUACCAUUCAUAGCUGUUACGUGUGGUAUAUAAUUGAUGUCUGGGCUGUUCCAAAAAAAGGUGGUCAUAACUUUCUGGUGGAUCUGGUUGCUAAUGAUUUCUUGCUUUGUAAGACUUGGAGUGUUUGUGCUUGAGGGAUCCUUGUUUGCUCUUGGAUCCAGGGUGGUAACUGCAUGGUUAACCUGCCUUGAGAGCCCUGAGACCUGAAGAUUGGUUCUCUGUGUCCAUACAUUUAUAUCUUUAUAUAUUUGGCCCAGGGGCUGCUGAUUGUUGGUCUGCUCAUGUGACAUGUCUUUGUCACUAUGACUUUAGUGAAUCAGUAUUUGUGACUCUACAAGAUGGAUCUUGAUGGCCCUGCACGCCAAGCUAAAUUCUCCAUUUUAUGACAACUGGUUGCUUAAGAAAUGUUCAAAAUGAUGAGGUAGGGAUGAUGAGCUAGUGGUAUUCUUGAUCAUUAUGGUGACAGAUUGAAAAUAACUGCAGAGAUGCCAACCCUCCCAAAUUCAUCGGAAUUAUCUUGAAAAAUGAAUGUCGAUUCCGCAUUUCCGACAAAGCCAAA